rnacentral:rRNA from 1 species
UAUCCAUUGGAGGGCAAGUCUGGUGCCAGCAGCUGCGGUAAUACCAGCUCCAAUAGCGUAUAUUAAAGUUGUUGCAGUUAAAAAGCUCGUAGUUGGACUUGUGUGCGCUGUCCGCGGGUGGCCUGCGCCCAAAAGGGCGUUUCGGUUCGGCCCCGGUGGCGCCUUGAAAUCUGCAGCUGGGGGGACGUUGGCCUUAACUGGUCGGCGACCGCACGCCGGCUGCUCGGUUACUGUGAGAAAAUUAGAGUGUUCAAGGCAGGCAUUGGGUGCAAUUGAAUACAUUAGCAUGGAAUAAUAAAAUAUGGCUCCUGCCGUAUUUUGUUGGUUUUGACUGGUGGGAGUAAUGAUUGAUAGGGACGGUUGGGGGUGCUAGUAUUGAGCGGCCAGAGGUGAAAUUCAUGGAUUCGCUCAAGACUAACUUAUGCGAAAGCAUUCACCAAGGACGUCCUCUUUAAUCAAGAACGAAAGUUGGGGGAUCGAAGACGAUCAGAUACCGUCGUAGUCUCAACCAUAAACUAUGUCGACUUGGGAUCGGCGGUAGUUUUUUCAUUAAGACACUGUCGGGACCACGGGAGAAAUCAAAGUGUCUGGACUCUGGGGGAAGUAUGGUCGCAAGGCGGAAACUUGAAGGAAUUGACGGAAGGGCACCACCAGGAGUGGAGCCUGCGGCUUAAUCUGACCCAACACGGGGAAACUUACCAGGUCCAGAGAUAUAGAGGAUUGACAGAUUGAAGCUCUUUCUUGAUCACUUCGGUGGUGGUGCAUGGCCGUUCUUAGUUGGUGGAGUGAUUUGUCUAGUUAAUUCCGUUAACGAACGAGACCUCAGCCUGCUAGUGUAGUCGGCUGGAUUGCCUUUGGCGAUCCGUGAUUUCGACUUCUUAGAGGGACAAUCGACGCGCAGUCGAUGGAAGUUUGAGGCAAUAACAGGUCUGUGAUGCCCUUAGAUGUUCUGGGCCGCACGCGCGCUACACUGCUGGGCUCAGCGAGUUUUAUUUGGCCGAGAGGCCCGGUUAAUCUUGUGAAAUCCCAGCGUGCUUGGGCUCGCCUCCUGCAACUGGAGGCGCCAACGAGGAAUUCCUAGUAGACGCAGGUCAUCAACCUGCAUCGAUUACGUCCCUGCCCUUUGUACACACCGCCCGUCGUUCCAUAAGAGUGAGGCAUCCGGUGAAUUCUCGGGAGAGCCUGGGCGUGGCCAGCAAUGGUCUGCUCGGGUUUGAACUUGCAUAAACUUGGUGCCUAUGAUUAGGG